rnacentral:rRNA from 1 species
AGUGAACGCUGGCGGUAGGCCUAACACAUGCAAGUCGAACGGCAGCACAGGAGAGCUUGCUCUCUGGGUGGCGAGUGGCGGACGGGUGAGGAAUACAUCGGAAUCUACUCUGUCGUGGGGGAUAACGUAGGGAAACUUACGCUAAUACCGCAUAUGACCUACGGGUGAAAGCAGGGGACCUUCGGGCCUUGCGCGAUUGAAUGAGCCGAUGUCGGAUUAGCUAGUUGGCGGGGUAAAGGCCCACCAAGGCGGCGAUCCGUAGCUGGUCUGAGAGGAUGAUCAGCCACACUGGAACUGAGGCACGGUCCAGACUCCUACGGGAGGCAGCAGUGGGGAAUAUUGGACAAUGGGCGCAAGCCUGAUCCAGCCAUACCGCGUGGGUGAAGAAGGCCUUCGGGUUGUAAAGCCCUUUUGUUGGGAAAGAAAUCCAGCUGGCUAAUACCCGGUUGGGAUGACGGUACCCAAAGAAUAAGCACCGGCUAACUUCGUGCCAGCAGCCGCCGUAA